rnacentral:ncRNA from 1 species
ACUCAACACGAUUACCAAUAGGUGUUUAGCUCGGGCUUUCUAGGUCAGGCCCCCACGACAGGGGAAGACCGAAAUUGUCUGGUAAAUGCCGAUCCUGUCUAAACGGAGUUU